rnacentral:rRNA from 1 species
AUUGAACGCUGGCGGCAUGCCUUACACAUGCAAGUCGAACGGCAGCACGGGGCAACCUGGUGGCGAGUGGCGAACGGGUGAGUAAUGCAUCGGAACGUGCCAUUGAGUGGGGGAUAACGUAGCGAAAGUUGCGCUAAUACCGCAUAUUCUGUGAGCAGGAAAGCAGGGGGAUCGCAAGACCUUGCGCUCUGGGAGCGGCCGAUGUCGGAUUAGCUAGUUGGUGGGUAAAGGCCUACCAAGCCCGCGAUCUGUAGCUGGUCUGAGAGGACGAUCAGCCACACUGGGACUGAGACACGGCCCAGACUCCUACGGGAGGCAGCAGUGGGGAAUAUUGGACAAUGGGCGCAAGCCUGAUCCAGCAAUACCGCGUGUGUGAAGAAGGCCUUAGGGUUGUAAAGCACUUUCAAUUGGGAGGAAACCUGCGGUCAAUACCCGGUAGCUUGACAUUACCUUUAGAAGAAGCACCGGCUAACUCCGUGCCAGCAGCCG